rnacentral:rRNA from 1 species
GACGAACGCUGGCGGCGUGCUUAACACAUGCAAGUCGAACGGAAAGGCCCUGCUUUUGUGGGGUGCUCGAGUGGCGAACGGGUGAGUAACACGUGAGUAACCUGCCCUUGACUUUGGGAUAACUUCAGGAAACUGGGGCUAAUACCGGAUAGGAGCUCCUGCUGCAUGGUGGGGGUUGGAAAGUUUCGGCGGUGGGGGAUGGACUCGCGGCUUAUCAGCUUGUUGGUGGGGUAGUGGCUUACCAAGGCUUUGACGGGUAGCCGGCCUGAGAGGGUGACCGGCCACAUUGGGACUGAGAUACGGCCCAGACUCCUACGGUAGGCAGCAGUCGGGAAUCUUGCACAAUGGGCGGAAGCCUGAUGCAGCAACGCCGCGUGCGGGAUGACGGCCUUCUGGUUGUAAACCGCUUUCGCCUGUGACGAAGCGUGCGUGACGGUAAUGGGUAAAGAAGCACCGGCUAACUACGUG